GACGAACGCUGGCGGCGUGCCUAAUACAUGCAAGUAGGACGCAGUUGCGAACGGGUGAGUAAAGCGUAGGUAACUACCUAAAAGAGGGGGAUAACGAUUGGAAACGAUAGCUAAUACCGCAUACUAGUAAAUGGACCUGCGUUGUAUUAGCUAGUAGGUAGGGUAAUGGCCUACCGAGGCAACGAUACAUAGACGACCUGAGAUGGUGAUCUGCCACACUGGGACUGAGACACGGCCCAGACUCCUCCUGGAGGCAGCCGUAGGUAAUCUUCGGCAAUGGGGGGAACCCUGACCCAGCAACGCCGCGUGAUUGAAGAAGUUUUUCGGAUCGUAAAGCUCUGUUGUUAAGGAAGCGUUACUUAACCAGAAAGGGACGGCUAACUACGUGCCAGCAGCCGCGGUAAUAC
rnacentral:rRNA from 1 species